AUCUCAGACAGAAACUUUCUUUAAAAACACGUUGAUGUGUUUCCACAAAUAUGUGGGUGGGAAAAGCUGGUAAUUAUGAAGCCAUGAGAUGAACCUUUGUGACGAUGGCAAGUCACUAAGGCUCUUGCAAGGGGCUGUAAGA
ensembl:snoRNA